rnacentral:rRNA from 1 species
UGGGGAAUAUUGGACAAUGGGCGAAAGCCUGAUCCAGCCAUGCCGCGUGUGUGAAGAAGGUCUUCGGAUUGUAAAGCACUUUAAGUUGGGAGGAAGGGCAUUAACCUAAUACGUUAGUGUUUUGACGUUACCGACAGAAUAAGCACCGGCUAACUCUGUGCCAGCAGCCGCGGUAAUACAGAGGGUGCAAGCGUUAAUCGGAAUUACUGGGCGUAAAGCGCGCGUAGGUGUGUUGUUAAGUUGGAUGUGAAAUCCCCGGGCUCAACCUGGGAACUGCAUUCAAAACUGACUGACUAGAGUAUGGUAGAGGGUGGUGGAAUUUCCUGUGUAGCGGUGAAAUGCGUAGAUAUAGGAAGGAACACCAGUGGCGAAGGCGACCACCUGGACUAAUACUGACACUGAGGUGCGAAAGCGUGGGGAGCAAACA